UCUUGUGUACAUGCCUACAAUGUUAAUGCAUCGGAUCCCAUCAUAACUCCACAAUUAAGCACGCUUGGGCUAUAGUAGUAUUGGGAUGGAUGACCUCUCAAUAAGUUCUAGUGUUUUACAUGCC
rfam:Picea glauca, whole genome shotgun sequence.